rnacentral:rRNA from 1 species
UACAGAGGGGGCAAGCGUUAUUCGGAAUUAUUGGGCGUAAAGGGCGCGUAGGCGGCCUGGCAAGUGGAAGGUGAAAUCCCUCGGCUUAACCGAGGAACUGCCCUCCAAACUGCUAGGCUUGAGUCCGGGAGAGGUGAGUGGAAUUCCCAGUGUAGCGGUGAAAUGCGUAGAUAUUGGGAGGAACACCAGUGGCGAAGGCGGCUCACUGGACCGGAACUGACGCUGAGGCGCGAAAGCCAGGGGAGCAAACGGG